rnacentral:rRNA from 1 species
GUCGAACGGAGAUUAAGUAGCUUGCUAUUUAAUCUUAGUGGCGCACGGGUGAGUAAUAUAUAGCUAACUUGCCCAUUACUAAGGGACAACAGUUGGAAACGACUGCUAAUACCUUAUACUCCGUAUCUAUAUAAGUAGAUACGGGAAAGUUUUUCGGUAAUGGAUAGGGCUGUAUCGUAUCAGCUAGUUGGUAAGGUAAUGGCUUACCAAGGCUAUGACGCGUAACUGGUCUGAGAGGAUGAUCAGUCACACUGGAACUGAGACACGGUCCAGACUCCUACGGGAGGCAGCAGUAGGGAAUAUUGCUCAAUGGGGGAAACCCUGAAGCAGCAACGCCGCGUGGAGGAUGACACUUUUCGGAGCGUAAACUCCUUUUCUUGGGAAAGAAUUAUGACGGUACCCAAGGAAUAAGCACCGGCUAACUCCGUGCCAGCAGCCGCGGUAAUACGGAGGGUGCAAGCGUUACUCGGAAUCACUGGGCGUAAAGGACGCGUAGGCGGAUUAUCAAGUCUCUUGUGAAAUCUAACGGCUUAACCGUUAAACUGCUUGGGAAACUGAUAAUCUAGAGUAAGGGAGAGGCAGAUGGAAUUCUUGGUGUAGGGGUAAAAUCCGUAGAGAUCAAGAAGAAUACCCAUUGCGAAAGCGAUCUGCUGGAACUUAACUGACGCUAAUGCGUGAAAGCGUGGGGAGCAAACAGG